rnacentral:tRNA from 1 species
AAGGGCAUUACUUGAAUGCUACUGCGGGUACAUUGUAUUUCUCUAUUUUUCGAGAUUUAUUUAGAUAUA